GAUGAACGCUGGCGGCGUGCUUAACACAUGCAAGUCGAACGAUGAGGCCCAGCUUGCUGGGUGGAUUAGUGGCGAACGGGUGAGUAACACGUGAGUAACCUGCCCUUAACUCUGGGAUAAGCCUGGGAAACAGGGUCUAAUACCGGAUAGGAGCGCCUACCGCAUGGUGGGGGGUGGAAAGAUUUAUCGGUUUUGGAUGGACUCGCGGCCUAUCAGCUUGUUGGUGAGGUAAUGGCUCACCAAGGCGACGACGGGUAGCCGGCCUGAGAGGGUGACCGGCCACCCUGGGACUGAGACACGGCCCAGACUCCUACGGGAGGCAGCAGUGGGGAAUAUUGCACAAUGGGCGAAAGCCUGAUGCAGCAACGCCGCGUGAGGGAUGACGGCCUUCGGGUUGUAAACCUCUUUCAGUAGGGAAGAAGCGAGAGUGACGGUACCUGCUGAAGAAGCACCGGCUAACUACGUG
rnacentral:rRNA from 1 species